GUCACUCUCGUCGCCAUUUUGUUUUUGGUGGUUUUUGUCUGGCUUCUUUACCGCAACCUGUUUUAUCAGCAAGUUCUUUAUAACCUGUAUUUUGUGCUGACCUCCUAUCUCAUCCUGUGACUCAGAAUGCCUUAACAACUGUCUGGAAUGCAGCCCGCAACUGGAUCCCAAAAUUUGGCUACCCAGGAUAAAAACUACAUUUCCUGGCUUACAUUGCAGUUGGGUGCCAUUAUAUGACCAUGUUACUCCUGAUGAGAAAAAGGCAGAAGUUUGUGCAAAUUUCACUAAAGUUGAUAUAGGGAACACACUCGACAAAAAAAAAAAAAAAAAAAAAAAUACACACAAGAGUCAGGAUUUCUCCAGGGAAUCUUGAAAGUAUCUGCACUGCCAAGUUCCAAAGAGGCUCUAUCGUGAUUAUCUUACACUGACAAUACCAAAGACACUGGCAAUACGAAAGACACUGACUGCAAUCUUCCAGGUAUGCAUUGAAUUCUAUCUCUAUCCGUCCAAGAACUUUGUUUAAAUAAUUUUGCUUAAGAGGAAUGAAAUGUCCUUUUCUGUCAAGCUCCAUUAUAUACAAUAUUUAAAACAAAUAAAAAGAGAUGCUUCACUCAGCAGGCAGUCACCUUGUGAAAUUCACUGUCACCAUAGGUCACUGGGCUGAAUAAUUUUAUGACCAAUAAUAACAUUUGUCUGAACGCAUGCUGAGAAAAGUGUUACACUUACAAUGCCUGAAUCCAAUAUGUCCACUGAAUCUCUCAAUGUAGUUUCUCUCUCAGCCAUUGAAUCAAUUACCCCUAUAUAUCUAAUUUGUCAAUACCUUAAAUCUGGAGUACAAAUU